rnacentral:lncRNA from 1 species
AAAAAAGGAAAUAGAGAGAAUCUGUUUGGCUUCAUUAACCAUUAUCCUGAAUAGAGGGCCUCUUUUAGGCAGGUAUUUCAGGCUCAGCCAGCUCAUUGGCUGGCGCCAUUCCUGUUCCAGUCAGCCAUGGCCAGUGGAUAGAAACACACACUACAGAACAUGGCAGCCACGCUGAGGAAGUACCUUUCACCAUGUGGUAGACACUCAGAGACUGCUCUGAAAAGAGAGAAGAGAAAGAAAGAGAACUCCUUGAACUUGAAAACAGACCAUCAAUGGAUACAGGUUAAGAUUAAGCUGUUUCUUUCAUGUGAGUCUCAUCACUGAGAUCUGAUUCCACCUACAAAGGUUAAACAUUUUACUUGGCUGCCUGGAAAAAGCUGAGAUGUGAUUCUGAUUACAAGUUUGGAAGCAAUUAAAAAUGGUGGGAUUGGGAGAGGAGAAGAUUUGACACUGUACUGCAAAGAAGUCAUCGCAGUAUCUUCAAGCUAGUCAGAACUGGCCUUAUAAAACAGGAAAAUAAAGAAUGUUUCAGAUUGCAAGGAAACAUAGUGAAGGCAAGAAGGUGACCAACUGCAAAUCAGGGAGAGGACUCUCACCAGACACCAAAUCUGCUGGCACCUUGAUCCUGGACUCCUCAGCCUCCAGAACU